rnacentral:rRNA from 1 species
UACGUAGGGGGCAAGCGUUGUCCGGAAUUAUUGGGCGUAAAGAGCGUGUAGGCGGCCAGAUAAGUCCGCUGUGAAAUCUCGAGGCUCAACUUCGAGCUGUCGGUGGAAACUAUCUGGCUAGAGUCCGGAAGAGGAGAAUGGAAUUCCUGGUGUAGCGGUGAAAUGCGCAGAUAUCAGGAAGAACACCCGUGGCGAAGGCGGUUCUCUGGGACGGUACUGACGCUGAGGAGCGAAAGCGUGGGGAGCGAACAGG